UCUCUUCUGGGUGGGCCACCCCAAGAGCUCACACCUGCCAAAGAUUUUUCUCUUUACCACCCACCCUUCAUCCUCUCUGCUUCAAGGCCACUUGCAUUAUUUAAGAGGCAAACCCAACAAGCUAAGAAGUAACGAUGAAUAAGGAAGCUGGCCUGUCCAUCUCUGCCAAGUCUAUCAGAUGAAAAGACAGCAGACAAGACUGUCAGACAUCUCUUAAACAGCACUAAAAGUUCCUGUGCCUGCGCCCGGAAAAGCAGCUUGCGUAACAGAAAGUAGGGACUGGGAAGUUUCUGUCUGAUGACUGAAACCAGUGGCGAUCCAUGCAAGGGACAGUGAAGAGAUGCAGUGGAGCGGAGACAGGAUCCACACGCAACUGAAGUCUUCGACACAUCCUAAGUUAAAACGACGUUAAAAUAACAGUAAAAAGUGUGAGGUUAGCCAUCAGAAUGUCCUGCUGUUACUCACCGGGCACUUACUUAAGGCACUGUAGAGAAUGUACCUUUCUAGAGGCAUACGGGGAAGAACUGCUUUUGCAGGUGACUCCAACGCCCGGCCAGAACCAUCAACACUCACAGGCCGGUACAGGAGCACAGGGAGGACUCAAGAGGUCUCGCAAUAUCCUGCUGUUCUUACCUCCCCGUGUCCAUUUGG